rnacentral:rRNA from 1 species
GACAGAGGGUGCAAACGUUGUUCGGAAUUACUGGGCGUAAAGCGUGUGUAGGCGGUCUCAUAAGUCGGAUGUGAAAGCCCUGGGCUCAACCUGGGAAUGGCAUUUGAAACUGGCGAGCUAGAGUGUGAUAGAGGAUGGCGGAAUUCCCGGUGUAGCGGUGAAAUGCGUAGAGAUCGGGAGGAACAUCCGUGGCGAAGGCGGCCAUCUGGAUCAACACUGACGCUGAGGCACGAAAGCGUGGGGAGCAAACAGG